UAGGGAAUAUUAGUAAUGGGCGAAAGCCUGAACUAGCAACGCCGCGUGUGCGAAGAAGGCCUUCGGGUUGUAAAGCACUUUUUGAGAGGAUGAGGAAGGACGGUACUCUCAGAAUAAGUCUCGGCUAACUACGUGCCAGCAGCCGCGGUAACACGUAGGAGGCGAACGUUAUCCGGAUUUACUGGGCGUAAAGCGCGUGUAGGUGGUUUGAUAAGUAGGGCGUGAAAGCUCCUGGCUCAACUGGGAGAGGCCGUUCUAAACUGCCGAACUAGAGGAUGGUAGAGGGAGGUGGAAUUCCGGGUGUAGCGGUGGAAUGCGCAGAUAUCCGGAGGAACACCAGUGGCGAAAGCGGCCUCCUGGACCACUCCUGACACUGAGACGCGAAAGCUAGGGUAGCAAACGG
rnacentral:rRNA from 1 species